CCUACGGGGGGCAGCAGUGGGGAAUAUUGGACAAUGGGGGGAACCCUGAUCCAGCGACGCCGCGUGAGUGAAGAAGUAUUUCGGUAUGUAAAGCUCUAUCAGCAGGGAAGAAAGAAAUGACGGUACCUGACUAAGAAGCCCCGGCUAACUACGUGCCAGCAGCCGCGGUAAUACGUAGGGGGCAAGCGUUAUCCGGAUUUACUGGGUGUAAAGGGAGCGUAGACGGCGAUGCAAGUCUGAAGUGAAAGGCGGGGGCGCAACCUCCGGACUGCUUUGGAAACUGUAUGGCUGGAGUGCAGGAGAGGUAAGUGGAAUUCGUAGUGUAGCGGUGAAAUGCGUAGAUAUUAGGAGGAACACCAGUGGCGAAGGCGGCUUACUGGACUGUAACUGACGUUGAGGCUCGAAAGCGUGGGGAGCAAACAGGAUUAGAUACCCUGGUAGUC
rnacentral:rRNA from 1 species